AUGCUCCCACUGAACCUUGUAAAACCGUAUCUCUUUGCUGCGAGUGACCCUUUCUGUCUGAUCCAAUAUUCUAAUUGGAUUUUCCUCAUAAGUCAAAACCUUAGUCAAUUCUAUCUCUGCCAUAUCAGUCCUUUUCUCCGGUGGCGAGAUACAUCUCCUUAG
rnacentral:rRNA from 1 species